rnacentral:rRNA from 1 species
AAACUUCGCAAUGUGCGCAAGCACGACGAGGGAAUCCUAAGUGCCUAUGCUUUGCAUAGGCUGUUCUCCUGUCUAAAAAACAGUGGUUAGCAAGGGCCGGGCAAGACCGGUGCCAGCCGCCGCGGUAACACCGGCGGCCCGAGUGGUAACCGUCUUUAUUGGGUUUAAAGGGUCCGUAGUCGGCUUAUUAAGUCUUUUGGGAAAUCUGGCGGCUCAAUCGUCAGGCGUCCAAGAGAUACUGGUAGGCUUGGGACCGGGAGAGGUGGGAGGUACU